UGAGCGACUACGUCACCGGUAACAUCUUGACAAGCUAUAGCAAACCGGUAUUUAUUACGUCCCUUAUGUGACCGCCGCCGCGCGCCGCCACCGGUGAAGUUGGGGUUAGUAUUUUGCAUGUUUUGUUUGAUAAUUUGUUUACAGUUUAGUGCAAACUAUGGUCACGAUCGGUGUUAUUGUUGGUUGUUAAAAUAUUGUGAGUGCUCUAUAUGCAAAUGAAUAUUCAAGAUGUUAUAUUCUAAAAAAUAUUAGUGGAUGCAGAUAAGAGUGUUUAGUGAGUGCUAUGUUUGAAUAUUUGCAAGUGAAAACACAGCCUAUCGAUGUAAUGCGCCGAUAAACUAUCAUGAUUGCAUUGAUGUAAUGCGCUAAAAAACUGCAAUGGCUCCGAAUACAUGAUUACCAGAUAACAAAUCCUAGCGCAGCUUACGUGUGUUCUUCAAUAACGUCGCAAGCUACAGUGGCUGUUCAUAAUUUUUGCAAGUUCUACACCUACAGGAUUCAGUUAUCUGGGCAUUAUAGAUACCCUAUUAUCACCUACGAAGUUAUUUAGGUAGGUAUAUUUAUUAAAACCAUUAUACAAGGUGUUGUAAAAAGGGUAUACUAAGCCGAAUGCUACAUGUGCAGCAUGGUAUAUCUAAGCCUGAAACUGAAAUCAGAAUUUAAAUAUUCGCGAAAAAAAUAUAUCAUUUUUCAUACAAACUUAGUUGGUCACGUGACUUUUUUACUAUGGAGAAUAAAAAUAAUUAAAUCCUAAUCUAGCUAAAGAUGAAUGAAGGAAUGAAUAACUUAGGUAUUAAUAAAAGUACUUUCGGCCUGUGAUGGUAAUUAAAUGAGUUAUAUUUCAUUAUGACAAUAACCGUGAUUAUACUUACCUAAACCUACUAAUGAACAAUCUGUGAUUACUUUAACUUAAGGUUAUUAUGAUAUAGGGCUAGAAAAUAAUUAUUUUUAAAUAGUGAAAUAACUACAUAUUUAAGUUCAUACCAUGUUUUUUUUUAUUGAACUACGUCAA